CCUACGGGAGGCAGCAGUGGGGAAUAUUGCGCAAUGGGCGAAAGCCUGAUGCAGCGACGCCGCGUGAGGGAUGAAGGUCUUCGGAUCGUAAACCUCUGUCAGCAGUGAAGAACGGUCACUGUGCUAAUCAGCAGUGAAUUGACGGUACCUGCAACGGAAGCACCGGCUAACUCCGUGCCAGCAGCCGCGGUAAUACGGAGGGUGCGAGCUGUAAUCGGAAUUACUGGGCGUAAAGCGCUCGUAGGCGGUAUGUCAAGUCAAGGGUGAAAUCCCCGCGCUGAACGUGGGAACUGCCUUUGAAACUGGCAAACUGGAGUGUGUGAGAGGAUAGUGGAAUUCCAGGUGUAGGAGUGAAAUCAGUAGAUAUCUGGAGGAACAUCAGUGGCGAAGGCGACUAUCUGGCACAUAACUGACGCUGAGGAGCGAAAGCGUGGGUAGCAAACAGGAUUAGAUACCCGUGUAGUC
rnacentral:rRNA from 1 species